UAAGGAAUAUUGGUCAAUGGACGCAAGUCUGAACCAGCCAUGCCGCGUGAAGGAUGAAGGUCCUCUGGAUUGUAAACUUCUUUUAUCUGGGACGAAAACGGGAUUUUUAUCUCAAUUGACGGUACCAGAGGAAUAAGCACCGGCUAACUCCGUGCCAGCAGCCGCGGUAAUACGGAGGGUGCGAGCGUUAUCCGGAUUUACUGGGUUUAAAGGGUGCGUAGGUUGGCUUAUAAGUCAGUGGUGAAAUCUCCGAGCUUAACUUGGAAACUGCCGGUGAUACUAUAGGUCUUGAAUUAUCUGGAGGUAAGCGGAAUAUGUCAUGUAGCGGUGAAAUGCUUAGAUAUGGCAUAGAACACCAAUUGCGAAGGCAGCUUACUACAUAUAAAUUGACGCUGAGGCACGAAAGCGUGGGGA
rnacentral:rRNA from 1 species